CCUACGGGGUGCAGCAGUGGGGAAUAUUGGACAAUGGGCGAAAGCCUGAUCCAGCCAUGCCGCGUGUGUGAAGAAGGCCUUCGGGUUGUAAAGCACUUUCAGUGGGGAAGAAAGCCUUGGGGCUAAUACCCUCGAGGAAGGACAUCACCCACAGAAGAAGCACCGGCUAACUCCGUGCCAGCAGCCGCGGUAAUACGGAGGGUGCGAGCGUUAAUCGGAAUUACUGGGCGUAAAGCGCGCGUAGGCGGUCUGAUAAGCCGGUUGUGAAAGCCCCGGGCUCAACCUGGGAACGGCAUCCGGAACUGUCAGGCUAGAGUGCAGGAGAGGAAGGUAGAAUUCCCGGUGUAGCGGUGAAAUUGCGUAGAGAUCGGGAGGAAUACCAGUGGCGAAGGCGGCCUUCUGGACUGACACUGACGCUGAGGUGCGAAAGCGUGGGUAGCAAACAGGAUUAGAUACCCUGGUAGUC
rnacentral:rRNA from 1 species